GCAAGCUGCCGCACCUUGGGCCAAUCACCGGACGCGGCGCUGUCCCGGCGGCCAAUCAGGAGAGGGAAGGAGUGGAAGGGCUGCCAGACGCGGCACUCGGGGCGCAUAAGAGCGGCACCGGAGGCAUCCAAAGAGAAGUUACACUCUGGCAGAGUGUUGUCUCCAAAAGAUCCUGAAUGCUUCUGGUUAAAAUCAGCUAUGUAGUGUCCUUCUCCUCCCAGGUGCUCCAUGGCCUUCAGCUUCUCUGAUAGCUCCUGGUUCUGCUGCUUCUUGGCAUCAUAAUGACUUUUUGCCUUCUCCAUCUAGGAUAUAAAGCAGAAGGAUCAUGUCCA